rnacentral:tRNA from 1 species
GGGCGUUUAGCUCAGCGGUAGAGCACUCCCCUCACACGGGAGGGGUCGCUGGUUCGAACCCAGCAAUGCCCACCA